AGGCAAGAGGACCCAGAAUGCUCAGCUCCACUCUUCUUGUUCACAAGGGCCUCCUUGGGUGAAGCCUCCUUCUGCACAGCCUGCCAUGGUCACCAAGAUCCUUAGCUGUGUUCUUCUGUAUUUCCUGCGAGUAGAACUUACAGAUGGUGGAGUCACCCAGACACCCAGACACAAGGUGGCACAGAAAGGACAAGCUGUAACUCUGAGAUGUGAGCCAAUUCCAGGCCAUGACACCCUUUUCUGGUACAGACAGACUAUGGUGCAGGGGCUGGAGUUGCUCAUUUUCUUUAGAAACCAGGCUCCUAUAGACGAUACAGGGAUGCCCAAGGAUCGGUUCUCAGCCUCCAUGCCAGAGACCUCCUUCUCCACCCUGAAGAUCGAGCCAACAGAACCCAGGGACUCAGCCUUGUACCUCUGUGCCAGCAGCCUAGCCACAGCGCUGCAGAAUCACCCUGAGCAGGUGCAGAAACCCUGCUGCUUCCCCUUCUCUCAGCAGUUGUCCUAG